rnacentral:lncRNA from 1 species
CUAGAGGAGGAAAUGUUGGAGGAUAUUUUGAAUAAAAAAAAACUCCAAAAAAUCUCGAAAAAAUUGAGAAAAAUAGAAAAUAAUGCGCUCGCGGAGAAACCGAACGGGCGGAAUACAGAGGAGGAAAAAUGGAAGAACAGUAAGAAAAAGAAGGGUUCCAGAACUAACCUAGGCUGGUUCGAGAGGUGUGGGAGGGUAGCGAAGGUGAUGGAGGUCAACCUGAAGGGGCACCUAAGAUCGAGA